rnacentral:rRNA from 1 species
AACGUAGGAGGCGAGCGUUAUCCGGAGUUACUGGGCGUAAAGCGUCUGUAGGCGGUUGGCCAAGUUGCGUGUGAAAGCGCCCGGCUAAACUGGGCGAGGACACGUAAGACUGGUCGGCUAGAGGGUGGUAGAGGGGUGCAGAAUUCCGGGAGUAGCGGUGAAAUGUGUAGAGAUCCGGAGGAAUACCAGUGGCGCAAGCGGCACCCUGGGCCAUACCUGACGCUGAGAGACGAAAGCGUGGGGAGCGAACGGG